rnacentral:rRNA from 1 species
GACGAACGCUGGCGGCGUGCCUAACACAUGCAAGUCGAACGGAAGGACCAGGCUUUUGUGGCGUUCACGUUUGGCGAACGCGUGAGCGUCACGCGUGUAUCCCCCACCUGUAUUUGUGAUAUAACCAGGAAACAGGGGCUCUUAUCCGGUAGGAGCUCCUGCUGCACGGUGGGCAAAGGAAAGUUUCGGCGGUUGGGGAUCGAGUCGCGGCUUAUCAGCUUGUUGGGGGGGUAGUGGCUUACCAAGGCUUUGACGGGUAGCCUGCCUGAGAGGGUGACCGGCCACAUUGGGACUGAGGUACGGCCCAGACUCCUACGGGAGGCAGCAGUGGGGAAUAUUGCACAAUGGGCGGAAGCCUGAUGCAGCAACGCCGCGUGCGGGAUGACGGCCUUCGGGUGGUAAACCGCUUUCGCAUGUGACGAAGCGUGAGUGACGGUAAUGGGUAAAGAAGCACCGGCUAACUACGUG